GGCGUUCCCUGCUAUAAUGCAGUCGACGAACUCUGGUAUUGAUUGGUGCUCGCAUCAUGAUUUACAUUUGAGUGAGUGGCGAACUGGUGAGUAACACGUGGGAAACCUGCCCAGAAGCGGGGGAUAACACCUGGAAACAGAUGCUAAUACCGCAUAACAACUUGGACCGCAUGGUCCGAGUUUGAAAGAUGGCUUCGGCUAUCACUUUUGGAUGGUCCCGCGGCGUAUUAGCUAGAUGGUGGGGUAACGGCUCACCAUGGCAAUGAUACGUAGCCGACCUGAGAGGGUAAUCGGCCACAUUGGGACUGAGACACGGCCCAAACUCCUACGGGAGGCAGCAGUAGGGAAUCUUCCACAAUGGACGAAAGUCUGAUGGAGCAACGCCGCGUGAGUGAAGAAGGGUUUCGGCUCGUAAAACUCUGUUGUUAAAGAAGAACAUAUCUGAGAGUAACUGUUCAGGUAUUGACGGUAUUUAACCAGAAAGCCACGGCUAACUACGUGCCAGCAGCCGCGGUAAUACGUAGGUGGCAAGCGUUGUCCGGAUUUAUUGGGCGUAAAGCGAGCGCAGGCGGUUUUUUAAGUCUGAUGUGAAAGCCUUCGGCUCAACCGAAGAAGUGCAUCGGAAACUGGGAAACUUGAGUGCAGAAGAGGACAGUGGAACUCCAUGUGUAGCGGUGAAAUGCGUAGAUAUAUGGAAGAACACCAGUGGCGAAGGCGGCUGUCUGGUCUGUAACUGACGCUGAGGCUCGAAAGUAUGGGUAGCAAACAGGAUUAGAUACCCUGGUAGUCCAUACCGUAAACGAUGAAUGCUAAGUGUUGGAGGGUUUCCGCCCUUCAGUGCUGCAGCUAACGCAUUAAGCAUUCCGCCUGGGGAGUACGGCCGCAAGGCUGAAACUCAAAGGAAUUGACGGGGGGACCGCACAAGCGGUGGAGCAUGUGGUUUUAAUUCGAAGCUACGCGAAGAAACCGUUACCUAGGUCUUGACAUACGAUGCAAAUCUAAGAGAUUAGACGUUUCCGCUGUCGGGGACAUGGAUACAGGGUGAGCAUGGAUUGUCGGUCAGCUCGUGUCGUGAGAUGUUGGGUUAAGUCGCGCUACGAGCGCAACGGUUAUAUCAGCGGCCUAGCAUUAGUGGCACUCUGAUGAGACUGACUGGAACUAACGGAGGAAUGGUGGGGGAAUUGAACGGUUC
rnacentral:rRNA from 1 species